AACGAACGCUGGCGGCAGGCCUAACACAUGCAAGUCGAGCGCCCAGCAAUGGGAGCGGCAGACGGGUGAGUAACGCGUGGGUAUCUACCUAGUGGUGCGGAAUAGCCCAGGGAAACUUGGAGUAAUACCGCAUAAGCCCGAAAGGGGAAAGAUUUAUCGCCAUUAGAUGAGCCCGCGUUGGAUUAGCUAGUUGGUGGGGUAACGGCCCACCAAGGCGACGAUCCAUAGCUGGUCUGAGAGGAUGAUCAGCCACACUGGGACUGAGACACGGCCCAGACUCCUACGGGAGGCAGCAGUGGGGAAUAUUGGACAAUGGGCGCAAGCCUGAUCCAGCCAUGCCGCGUGAGUGACGAAGGUCUUCGGAUUGUAAAGCUCUUUUGGCGGGGACGAUAAUGACGGUACCCGCAGAAUAAGCCCGGCUAACUUCGUG
rnacentral:rRNA from 1 species